GUGACCCUCAAGUAAUCAGAAAUACCACAGUAAAUGAAGAAAUCACAGUAAGCCCAUAAAAACUGCUGGAGGGUCUAGAACAUUAAUGAUCACAAACCUUCACUGAAGUCAAACCCAUCUGUUAUAAUUCCUUCAUCAUCUAGAUUUGGCUUAAUGUAUAAAUGUGCAGUAAUUAAAUCGCGGGAUUAUUUGCCGAUGGUCCUGCAGGUCCAAUCCUAGACGAUUUUUGCAGCUGUUUUUGACAAUGGAUGGAUGGAUGGAUUCAAUGAAUAGUCAUCACUGAAUAUAUUUACAUUUCUUUCUGCCAGAAACCCUUCUGUUCUCAUUCCUCCAGGACCACAAGCGAACAGUUCUGGAACAUUAAAGACCAUUGAAGAAAAGUAAAGACCCACCACCAUCAACUCACUGUACACUGGUAGGAAUGAGAAACAAAGCAUUAAAGGUGCAAUUAAUGUGAUCAACUACGGUGUGCAAAACUGCUCUCUGAUUGGUUAAUAUAGUCUGGCCACGCCCCCCACCAGGAGGAACGCCCUCUCACUUAAAGGCACAGCACAGCAGGGAUGGUGACAUAAGCAGAUCAGGUUCAGAAAAGAUGCUUCUUGGCUUUGGUGCUUUUCUUUGUUCUCUUAUUGCAGUGGUAAUGGGGCAGCAGGGAGUAUUUCAGGACCAAAUAUCCCUGACCAGAAGUUCAGGGAAAACUGUUGCCAUUCGUUGUAAAGUAUCUGGCCUGAAUGCAGGUGACUACAUUCACUGGUACCAGAAGAAAGAGGGCGAACCCUUCAAAAGGAUUUUAUACAUCAAAAGUGAUGGCUCAGCGUUAACCCGGGAUCCAGCCCAUCCUCAGAACCGCGACUUCUCCGCUGACGAGACUGGUGGUCUUCAAUACCUGAGGAUGUCUGCUGUAAAACCUGAGCACAGCGGCACCUAUUACUGUGCCUACUGGAAAUACCACAGCAGCACAGAGACCCUGAAGCACAGCACAAAAACCUCCAGAAGGCUCAGACUCCACUCCAAUAAUAAUAUAUGUGAAGCAUAAUAAAAAUGUAUAGUUGAAGCAAUAUAAUCAAUAAAAAC
rnacentral:lncRNA from 1 species